UACAGAGGGUGCAAGCGUUGUUCGGAAUUAUUGGGCGUAAAGCGCGUGUAGGCGGCUUGGUAAGUCGGGUGUGAAAUCCCUCAGCUCAACUGAGGAAGUGCGCCCGAAACUGCUUUGCUUGAGUGUCGGAGAGGAUGGCGGAAUUCCCCAAGUAGAGGUGAAAUUCGUAGAUAUGGGGAGGAACACCGGUGGCGAAGGCGGCCAUCUGGACGAUGACUGACGCUGAGACGCGAAAGCGUGGGUAGCAAACAGG
rnacentral:rRNA from 1 species